rnacentral:rRNA from 1 species
UACAGGGGGUGCAAGCGUUAAUCGGAAUUACUGGGCGUAAAGCGUGCGUAGACGGUUACAUAAGUCGGGUGUGAAAGCCCCGGGCUCAACCUGGGAAUUGCAUUCGAGACUGCGUAGCUAGGGUGCGGAAGAGGGAAGCGGAAUUUCCGGUGUAGCGGUGAAAUGCGUAGAUAUCGGAAGGAACACCAGUGGCGAAAGCGGCUUCCUGGUCCAGCACCGACGUUCAGGCACGAAAGCGUGGGGAGCAAAC